UACAGAGGGUGCAAGCGUUGUUCGGAAUUAUUGGGCGUAAAGCGCGUGUAGGCGGCUUCGCAAGUCGGAUGUGAAAUCCCACGGCUCAACCGUGGAAGUGCAUUCGAAACUGCAAGGCUAGAGUCCUGGAGAGGAAGGUGGAAUGCUUGGUGUAGAGGUGAAAUUCGUAGAUAUCAAGCGGAACACCGGUGGCGAAGGCGACCUUCUGGACAGUGACUGACGCUGAGACGCGAAAGCGUGGGGAGCAAACAGG
rnacentral:rRNA from 1 species